rnacentral:rRNA from 1 species
GGAUUGCAGGCUGCAACCCGCCUGUAUGAAGUUGGAAUCGCUAGUAAUCGCGGAUCAGCAUGCCGCGGUGAAUACGUUCCCGGGCCUUGUACACACCGCCCGUCACACCAUGAGAGUCGGGAACACCCGAAGUCCGUAGCCUAACCGCAAGGGGGGCGCGGCCGAAGGUGGGUUCGAUAAUUGGGGUGAAGUCGUAACAAGGUACC